GGCCUCCUCUGGACAUGUCAUAUACUCGCAAGCCUGGGCACGCCCUUCGGGGCUGCGCGUGGUGGGAAAAGGGGGUGGGGCAGGCGCCACCGCCUUGGUGACACCAUCUAGGGAAUGGAAUGUGGGGGCGGAGCCGUGGCGGCCUUAACCCGGUCACCACCGCUGGGAAAGCCGAAGGGAGCGGGAAGGAGGGAGGAGUGGCACUAAGCGCAGCAGAGAAAUACGGUAAUGAAAACGAAGCUGUCGCUGGGCUUCCCUGCGCGUACCCCAGCUCGGUUCCCAGCGGUGGUAGCAGCCCGCCGGCAUAGCUCCUACUCGCCUGCCCGGUGCGGGGCAGCCAGCUCCGCCCGCCCGCAGCAGAGCAAGGGCAGCCUCAGUGCCGGAAACUUGGUGCAUCUGAAGGGCAUGCAAGCUUUAAACAAGUAACAUCAGCCACAAAAGUCAUCUGCCUGCCCAACUAUUCCACUGUGGCAGAGAAGGAGGAGAAGAAAGCAACUGACAUGGACAAAAUGGAAUGGCAAAGGAGGAGUGGAAGAACAGAGGAAGAGGAUGACAAGAGGCCAGCAAGGGUGGAAGUACAGUUUAGUACAUAAAGCCAAACCUUUUCCACUGCACAUGGCACUUACUACAAGAGAAUGAGGGUCCACCCUAAAUUAGUUCUAAUAUCUGGAAAAUCCUCCUCCUAGAACUGGUCUUAUGCUCAAAGAAGUCAGUUCCUUACACUCCAGCCCACCCCACCCCAGACAAAUGAUGCUGUAGCAAUAGCUGUGUGUCAGCCACCUCAGCUGCUGAAAGGGAAAAUGGGGAUCCUCCCCACUGGUUUGCAGUCUCUUGUGUUAUCUUUGAUGAACUCUGUAGAAAACAGAAAGCUAGCGCCUGCUCAGGUGGAGCAUUUUCUAAAAGGAAUGGAGUUCUCAUUUACAAACUACCAAUAUUGAAACUGCAACCUGUGGUGACUUAUUACCAACACUUAAAAGAAACGGAGAAUCAUUUUAAAAGAACUGUGGGAUAUGUCUAAACUGCAUUACUGCCAUCCAAUGUGGUUUCAUUUGAUACUAUUUAGAAAAGAGGGAUUAUAACCAUGGCAACACUUAUAUCAUGACGUGCCACUAGCAGUUCCAUAUAUAGUGUAAGAGUGAAACUCAUGUGUACAGGACAGCAAGUAGCGAGAGAAUAUGGAGUUCUUUUUUUAAGGAGAGAUCAGGAUGACCAUAAAGCUUACCAUUUUGCUUUCUCUGAAGGGACUAAAACUGCCUUUCUUCAACCUAGUCUUCCAAUAGUAACACCACAAGUCUUUUGUUUACACAGUUCACAUCUUGCUGAGCAGAGGUGUAAGAAGGUAAAUAUUUAUAUAGAAUUUGGGUCCUGAUUUUGUGAGGUAGUCAGAUACCACUGGUGGGCAGCAUGACAAAUACAGUGUUUGGGUGUAACAAAAUACUACUAAUCUUCAUCCACAGCUAUAAUGCAAACAUUCAGAAUAAAAAUUGAUUUUCUCAACAAAAAUAUUGAUGUAUAAUUGAUUUAAAAAGCUGAAGGGAUUAGUUCUUUUCUGCAGACAUGAGCUAAGCACAAGGGUAACUCCCUGACAUGAGAAGUUACGGUCUAAGAGAAUUACUGGAAAGCUAUGGGUAAUAGACAUAAAUGAAUAUGCUAUCUACAAAUCCCCUUUUUUUAAAGGGGAAACAGUCAACUUAAACACAUGCUUUUGUGUGACAAUCUUACAGGCUGUAGCAAGUAACACUGAAUAGAAAUAUUUCCUAAUUAGUAUUUGUUAAUUAUACAGCACUUUGUUAAUGUCUAAUUUCACUGUUUCCCCUGAAGUUAGUUUUCCCCUUCUAUGUGGGUCCUGCAUGCAACAAAGAGAGAAACAUGUUAGAAUGAAAUAAACUACACAAGUUAUUAGGGAAACCUGGGCAAGCUUAGAACUACUUAAAACUUUUAGAAGUUGACUAGAUUUCAAGUUGUGCCUCAUGAACAGAUGCUGAAUACAGUGACUGUUUCAUGUUGCUUUCAAUCAACAUUUCAAACCAGCACACCAGCCUGUUGGUAGAAUUACUUCUUCCUAUGAGUUAGGACUAGAGAUGACAAUCACUACUACACUGCAUUGCUUAUCUCCUAUCUGUGGAUGCUAAACCAUUGUGCUAUUGCACCUCAAGUGUAGUUAAAGUAAUUAGUUUACACAGAUAGUGCCCUAUCCUUCUCUCCCAGGAAAGCAAAAUGGCAGAAAACCUUUCUGUGAAGGUGCACAAAGAAAGGCAGUUAUGUAGGAUGUUACCACCAUCUCUGCAUAGGUCCUGAUUGUUUCUCACCAGGAAUCCCUCUGGGUUAAUGACAAAUGCCAGUGUACUGGGGCCCAUGCUGGAUAUAGGCUUCCCAGAAGAGGGAAUAGUGUAUCAGAUGAGCAGUACUCUAAUUUGCAUAUUGCUUAAGGAAAGAAUUGCCUUUCUGCACCUUUUCAUGUGGGAGGGAAACAUGGUUUUAGGCCCUGAUCCUUUGAGGUGUCCAGUGUUCUCCCCUUGAUAGAUCAGUAGGAGCAGAGGGCACUCAGCACUUCAUAGAACUGGGAUUUGUUUGUAAAGUGUUUUGCAAUCCUUCAGUAUCAAAGGCACUAAGAUAACUAAUAGUAAUAUUUUACUACUAUGUGCAGCAUCCCAAUUCCCUCCAUCUGUGUAUUGAAAACUAGGGGAAAAAGGCCUUUUGUAGUUACCUGAAAAUUUCCUUCCUGUGCCUAGAUCCACAGAUUCAUUACAGUGGGUUUUCCAGCCUCUUUGCUGCUUGGGGCCAGAAUCACACUGGCAACAGGGCAGUACCUUCUCCCUGAUGGCUCUGGAGUCUGUCUGAACCAGUCCUGAAUGAUCUGUGCAAAAUGAAUUGUUUAACAUUGUAGUGUUGGGAACUUAUGGGAAGGAAUGUGAAACUAUGUAUCAAAUGUAAGAAGUUGGGAAGCGUCUGAGUGAGAUCAGCAUUGCCAAUAAGAAUUUUUUUUUGGUGAUAUCUAUGUUUAUCUUUAAGCCCAGAUGCACAUUCUUUACUUGUAAGGUGGUAAAGACAGAUUGGUGGUUGAUGUCCAUACAAUUCAGGUAAUCUGUGGCAAUAUUUUGGAAAAUGUUUUAUGGUAAAUUAUUUGCUGUCACACUCACUGCAGUAGAUCAAGUGCCAGAAUGCUGUGUAAUGCCAAGGUGCCAGUCGUCAUGUGCUGUGGGAAAUGAAUCUUCAGAUACAGUCCUUGGUGCAACUCUACAAAGCUGGAACUAAUUUAAGAAUGUCACUCCCUAGAAGUGAGUGGAGUGUUACUCAGUAAAUCUACUGAUGGGACAGUCAUGGAGGAUGCAAACUAAGUUGUACAGCAGUGCCCUGUGGAAUUCAGUAGCAGCUCCAGACAGCUGCAAGAGGACCUGUCACCCUCUGCACCUGACCAGAUCCAGCAGCUUCCACUCCACUCAGGAGCUUGCACCACCUGUGAAAGAGCUUCUGAAUCGUCUUGAAGAGCCUACAUCCUGUGCUCAUCAAUAGCAGACCCAAGAGCAUAAGUCCAUGAGAGGAUAAGUGUCAGGCCUGUCAUUUCACCUUUUCCCCUUUCCCUCAGGUCACCUUCACAGUACAGUCUCUGCAUAGCAUCUGAUUUACUAAAAUUUUAAGUGAUCUCUGGACUUUUUUGCUGUUGGUUGUCAGUUCUUCCUUUUUCCCAUCCAACCUCUUUACUACCCAGCCUCCCUUUUCCUGUCCAGCCUGUCUCCUUUCUCCCCCUGGUUUUCUUCCUUCUGACUUAGUCCUAAAACUAAUUUCUUCCCCACCAGUCUCAUUUCACCCACUCCUAUUUCAAUGCAAGAUAACCAAUAAGAAAAGAUAACCCAUACCUACCCUAUUAAGAGAUAUGCAUAACAAUUUAAGCAACAGCAUGUUGUAAUCUUGUCCUCACCUUCCCUCCCUCUACUUGUUUUGGCUCGUAUCUGUUUAGACUGGAAGUUCUUCAGUCAGGGACCAUGAUAAUUAAUCUAUAAAGCACUAAGCCCACCUUACAUUUGAUAUAAAUACCUAAACACAUCCCUUUCUCUUUCUAGGGCAUACUGGUAUUAGAGAAGAAAUACUGCCAUAGAGAAAAAAUGACUUUCCCUUUUUCUUUUAAUUUUAAGUUUAAUAUUAAAUACAGGCUUUCUGUAUGCCAAAGAUUUCAGACUUAAGCUAGACUGAUUCUAUUGGUAAACGAAGGACCAUAUAUGUCCCUCUACAUGCACAUGAAAGCUGUUAAUGUGGAUAUGGAGCAAUAUUCGUCCCCAAGGACGCUACAAAAUUGCCACAAUAUAAGAAACUGAGCUUUACUGAAAAAAAGUGGCACUACAGGAAGAUAACUGUCCUGGGAACAUAGGAACUGUCAUGCUAGAGUCAACUGGUUGUCCAUUUAUCCCAGUAUUCGGUCUGUGAUAGUGACCAGUACCAGUUACAUUAUAGGAAAGUGCAAGGAGCCUGCCCAUAAGGGAAGUUCUCCCAUCAGUUAGUGGAUGGCUUUGGCCCUGUAACAUAGAGGUUUUAUAUCUUCUAUAUCCUGCUAAUAUAAUUGCAUAUUCUCCUCUGAGUCCAGUCUUUAUUAAAAUCCUACUCAGCUUUUUGCUUUUGUGACCUUUGUAGGCAUGAGUUCCACAGCCUUUUUUUUUUUUUUUCUAAAUGCAGCAUGUAUUUCCUUUCAUGGGUUUUAAGUGUUGCCUCUCAGUUUAAUUGAAUAUCCCCUUAUUUUUUUAUUAUGAAACAUUAAAUAGGAGAGUUUAUCUCAUUCUCUGUGUAUCAUGUUGUCUUCUUAGUCUCAGUAUUUUUAAUUUCUCUUCAUACAAGAGUCUCUUCAAACUCCUAAUUUCUAUUUCUACUAUGCUAUGCUUUUAAAAAAGAUAGGAUAAGUAUUGCUAAGCACAGUAUACUAGGUGAGUGCAUUUUUAGGCAAAGUUUAAAAACUUUCUAUACUCUGAUCCGACCCCACUGCUACCUUUUUACAGAAAAGCAAGAAUCUAGAUAAGACUCAUCUAUCCCCAAGCUGUGACAAUUCAAGAUAGUACCAGAAAUCAAGUUGAAGUGAUGAAUACACUGAAAGCUGCUAUAGGCUUUAGAAUCUUUCAGAAUCUUAAAAUGUGUAGUGUAUUUAUAUUAUUGAUACUUUAAAAAUGAAAUUUAAAAAUGCUAUGGGCAAGGUAUGAAACAGUAAAUAAAAUGAACAUUUUAUUGCUUAUUAAAAUAACUUAAAUUCCUCUACAAUUCAUUAAAAACUACCAUAAAAGAAAUCAUUCCAGAGUGCAAGAUUGUAAGGAUUAACUUUUCCAUUAUUGAUAGCACUGUCUUUCUGCCUCAGAACACGACAAAUGCGUGUGCAUGCAUAUAAUUCUGUAUGGCAGUAAUCAUUGUUACUAACAUUUAACAACACAAACAUAUACCUCUGAAUCAAUUGAAUAACUGAACAAAUUCAAAUAGCUUAGUUUGAAAAUGUAACUUUCUUCUUUUGAAUAAGCAGUUUUGUUAUGGAGCUAAAUCAGUCAGUUUAACAAAGGGCAGUAUGUUGAUGAAUUAUGUAUGUUUUCUGCAUUUUCUGCCUGCUGAUAAUUGACAGGUAUCAUGGCACCUUCUACUAGCUUCCCGUAAUUAUGAGCCACAUAUCAAAUACAGACUUGUAUACUGUUUCCCCUCC